UAUUGUCAUCUUUGCAGUAAAGCUGCGGUGCAUCAGGAACAGCUGACUAUGAACUGGGCGCUGGGAGGCUCAUGACAAGUAGGUUGAAGUAGGAGGAUGAGGUUGAUAGAUGCCCCAAGCAAGGACAUGGCGGACGAAAUGAAGAAAUACCUGCAACAAGUACUUUCCAAAGUAGAUGGUCUUCUGUGUAUACUGAUUACAGAUAGGGAUGGUGUACCUGUUUUGAAAGUUUCAGCAGACUCAGCCCCAGAACUUGCAAUGCGACCAAGUUUCUUAUCCACUUUUAGUAUGGCUACUGAGCAAGGAGGAAAACUUGGACUUGGGAAAAAUAAAUCCCUAAUCUGCAUGUACUCCUCAUACCAGGUUGUGCAGAUAAAUAAGUUGCCACUGGUAAUCAGUUUCAUUGCUACAAGCUCAUGCAACACAGGGCAUUUGCUUUCCUUGGAACACUCAAUUGAACCACUAUUGGGAGACCUGAAAUGCGCAGUAGCAGACUGAGUACCAUUCUGGGACUGACUGUGUGAUAAAUGUCUCGAUGACUGCAAUCUUCAGUGUCUUAGGUCCAUACAUGACAAUGAAAUUUGUUCAAGCUGAAAUACUGCCUCUAAUGAAUGACAAAAAAACUGAAAGAGUUGGCAGCUACCUUGCAGGGGUCAGAUGGGGCAAAGAGAUUCACACUCAAGCAAGCACCCAAGUGCCUAUAAAGUUAAAAUAUUGUAACACAGUGAAAGAAUUUCUCAGUGUCCUAGUCAUGGAUAAGGACUACUUUCUUCAAUGGAGACAACAGAACUGUAUAUACAUAUAAACAUAAUUAGCAUACUGUAGUAAUUGAAUGGCUAUAGGAAAUCUAGUUUGUUGUCUGUUGUAUGAACAUUAAACAGUCCCUGCGAGGAACCAAUAGCCAUUCCUUGGCUCUACUGCUUUAUUAUGCAGAUGCCACAGGGUAGUCCUAACUAAAAAUUUUCUUAUACAAUAAACGAAACCACAAAGCUGUCAUACUUUGUAAGAUAUCAGACUAGUUUACAACCCAAUUCUUAUUUUUAAUGUACAACGAGAUACAGAAGUUGCUUGUAGAGAAUGUUGUGUAAUAACUGUUAACUUCACUUAUUCAUAAUUUGAAUCUUCUACCAGUUGCCAAAUGUAAUUAGCCUUAAACAACACAGUGAUUUGUGUCAAGUUGUUGUUAUUCUAUAAAAUAUUGCUUUUGUAGAACAUUUUGGGAGAUACCAUGAUAGCUUUAACUUCACUGAAAACUAUGUAUAGUCUGUUCAUGAAAAAUCUAUCUGUAAUAACUUGUUCAGUAUUUGUUCAAGAUUUAGUGAGAAUGUUAGUAUCAAAAAUACAUCUGGUGUGGUUGUUUGUGUAAAAUAUUUCAUUAUUUUUUGUACUGAGAACAUAUAUUUACUGAAAUUCUGUUUAUGUAAAACAUGUUACUACAUUUUGUACAGCUAACUCUGUGCUUGGACUUUUGAAGAUUCACAACUUAUAAUUAAAAGUUUCAUUUUGGAUACAUUUUGACAAUGCUUUGUUAAGUAUCUCUGCCAGUGGACAUCCUAAUGGAGGCAAAUGAACUGGCAUGAGUACAGCGGAAUAGUUCAGGAACCUGCCAUGGAGGGCAUAUGUGUCCCGUUUUGUGGGCUGACUGCUGACAUCAGUGUUUACUUGUGAGCUGCAGUAAGCAGAACAAGCCAGUGCUCCUGUGGAAUUAGAGUGCAGCGGGUAUUGGUCCUGCUAAGAGUUGUCAUGUGCUACUUUUACGCACCCACGUGCUGAGUCAUUGUCAUGCACGCAUCUCCAUGGGUAUAGGCACUUCACUUCCUGAGGUUCAAUUCGCACAUUGAGUUACUCCCAUUCACAGGAUUUUGUUUGCUGGUUGUGACCGAGUCACCUUCAGUCAGAAGCACCGUACCAACCCUGUUGAGUAGUGGUGUUGUCAUGGUUUCUGGAGAUACUUAACUUUGCAAAUUAGUAAUCAUUGUAACUUAUUUAUGGCAUGGCAGUGAUGCCCACCAAGUAAGUGUGUAAUAAGUAUUGGUUUGGCUGAAGUUGGAGAUAUGUAAAAGCUAGUUUUGAACUCCUCAGUGGAGUAGUUGCAGUUUAAAAGUAUUAAAAAACAAAGAGUGUAUACAGUUUUAUUUUUACGUGGUAUUACUGGAUACAAUAAAUGGAGGGUCUAUUGUAAA